CCUACGGGAGGCAGCAGUGAGGAAUAUUGGUCAAUGGGCGCAAGCCUGAACCAGCCAAGCCGCGUGAGGGAGGAAGGUACAGAGUAUCGUAAACCUCUUUUGUCAGGGAACAAAGGCGGGUACGUGUCCCCGGAUGAGUGUUCCUGACGAAUAAGCAUCGGCUAACUCCGUGCCAGCAGCCGCGGUAAUACGGAGGAUGCGAGCGUUAUCCGGAUUUAUUGGGUUUAAAGGGUGCGCAGGCGGUCCGUUAAGUCCGCGGUCAAAGCCCGGGGCUCAACCCCGGGCCCGCCGUUGAACCUGGCAGUCUCGAGUUGGAGAGAAGUAGGCGGAAUGCGCGGUGUAGCGGUGAAAUGCAUAGAUAUCGCGCAGAACUCCGAUUGCGAAGGCAGCAUGCCGGCUCCAAACUGACGCUGAGGCACGAAAGCGUGGGUAUCGAACAGGAUUAGAUACCCCAGUAGUC
rnacentral:rRNA from 1 species